AGAUGUGAGGGCGAUCUGGCUGCGUCAUCUGUCACCCCAUUGAUCGCCAGGGUUGAUUCUGCUGAUCUGGCUGGCUAGGCGGGUGUCCCCUUCCUCCCUCACUGCUCCAUGUGUGUCCCUCCCGAAGCUGCGCGCUAGGUCUAAGAGGACGGCCUUCCCCGAAUAGAGACAGACCUGUCUUCCAUCCAGGGUAUACAAGUAGCUGUGCUCCCCUGCUAGAAUCUCUAAACAGCACUCAGAUGGGGGUCAGUAGGGCACAAAGUAAAACCCUGGAUGA
rnacentral:snRNA from 1 species